AGAAAAAACAAAAGAAACCCAGCCUGGGCAGCUCCCACCACAAUAGAGAAACGAAAUGAAAAUCCUAGGAGGAGUUGAAAAGCAAAAGCAAGCAGAAAAAAAAGGAGCUUCAAAGGUUUAGCCUGAAUGACGCCAGUUGUCUAAAAGAAUGAAGCAGAUAAAUCUGAAACAGCAGUUACCAACAGUGAUCGAUUGCGCAACCCUAACAUAGGUCUCAGAGUGACGAGAUCCCCCGGCGAUAAGCCAAACACAAUUUUCACCGCUGAAGCCAAAACCCACUAAAGAGAUCCUUGUCAACAACAAUGUGAGGAAGCCCAAUCGGACCCAAUGCAAAGUUAGUCAACCGCAACCAUCCCGAAAACCCGUCGAUCCCCGUCCACUACUAGAACAACAAAGCUGGGAACACCAUUGCGCAUAAAGGAAGUACCACCCGUGUGCAAUCCUAUAGUAGCCAGAAGGUGAGCAACGGUGUUACCUGUACAUAAGACAUAGGGGAAGCAACAACUGUGAAAAGAAGCAACCAGCACCUGCACAUCACGAAUAUAAGCCCCGAUAGCAGAGAAGUCCGGAGAAAAAGAGUUGACCUUACGAAUCACAGAGAGUGAAUCACCCUCAAACAUCGCAUCCUGUAACACAAGAUCCAAAUCCAACCGAACAGCCUGAUAACAAGCCAACACCUUCGCUGCAAAUGCCGUUAGAACAUGCGAGGAUAACAAUGAAGGUGCAUUGAAGGCAGCAUCAAAGUUUACUUUUAACACAGUGCCUUCCGAUGGCCGCUAGUGCUCUAAUCCAAUGAGACGACCAGUUUAUUCCAAAGACCGGUAACCAAAAGACAGUCGCAAAAGAUGUGCUUCAAAGAUUCAAGGGAAGCAAGGCACCGAGGGCAUAAAAUAGAGGAUCGUAACUUUCGAUUAUAGAGGUUAUGGUAGCUAAGAAUGUACUUUUUGUAAAUGUGCCAAGUUGUAAUUUUAAUUUUCGUUAGUAGUUGUAGUUUCCAAAUUUUCUUGUACUCAAACCUGCCAGAGUCAAUAGUACUGGUGGAGGCUGAUGAUGUAAGAAAGCGGUAUCCACUUCGAACCAAAUACACUCCUGAGCCAUCCAUACCCCACAACAAGAGAUCAUCGUAUGCUUCUCGAGGAAGAGGAAUACAAAUAACCCUAUCAGCCACAUCAGAACCCAACACUUCGGUAGGUUGGGAACCCAUACAUCAUUCCACACUCGUAUCCUGGUACCAGUACAGAUAUGCCAUACACCCUCGAAUAAAAU